rnacentral:rRNA from 1 species
CCUACGGGAGGCUGCAGUCGGGAAUUUUGGGCAAUGGGCGAAAGCCUGACCCAGCAACGCCGCGUGAGGGAUGAAGUAUUUCGGUAUGUAAACCUCGAAAGAAUAGGAAGAAUAAAUGACGGUACUAUUUAUAAGCUCCGGCUAACUACGUGCCAGCAGCCGCGGUAAUACGUAGGGAGCAAGCGUUGUUCGGAUUUACUGGGCGUAAAGGGCGCGUAGGCGGCCUGACAGGUCACUUGUGAAAUCUCCGAGCUUAACUCGGAACGGUCAAGUGAAACCAAUAGGCUAGAGUGCAGAAGGGGCAAUCGGAAUUCUUGGUGUAGCGGUGAAAUGCGUAGAUAUCAAGAGGAACACCUGAGGUGAAGACGGGUUGCUGGGCUGACACUGACGCUGAGGCGCGAAAGCCAGGGGAGCAAACGGGAUUAGAUACCCUUGUAGUC